CUCUUCUUCUCAUCUGCCGUGGUGGCUCGAGAGCUUCGGCGUGACUCGAAUGCAUCGAACGACUUGCGAGAGAGCCGCGGGCUGACGUGAGUCGCCGGGGGUCUAUUUUCAGUGUUAUAAAUAUACCGUAUGCGCUGAAGGGAUUUAUGGGUUUGGUAAACUAAUGGCGUUCGUUCCGCCUCCCGGCCUGACCAUUAGUAUGCUAAAAGGCUGAUACGGCCAAUAUUUGUACAGUCGCGGUGUCGUACGCGCGCGGAACAACGGAACCAUUUUACUCGCAUAUAACUCGGGUAGUGUUCUUCGAUGUGCUUGUCAUUCGAUAUACGCCUUCAAUCCGACACAC